rnacentral:rRNA from 1 species
GAUGAACGCUGGCGGCGUGCCUAAUACAUGCAAGUCGAGCGAACAGACGAGGAGCUUGCUCCUCUGACGUUAGCGGCGGACGGGUGAGUAACACGUGGAUAACCUACCUAUAAGACUGGGAUAACUUCGGGACACCGGCGCUAAUACCGGAUAAUAUAUUGAACCGCAUGGUUCAAUAGUGAAAGACGGUUUUGCUGUCACUUAUAGAUGCAUCUGCGCCGCAUGAGCUAGUUGGUAAGGUCACGGCUUACCAAGGCAACGAUGCGUAGCCGAACUGAGAGGGUGAUAGGCCGCACUGGAGCUGGACCAGGGACAAGGCGCCUGCGGGAGGCAGCAGUAGGCAAUCUUCCGCAGUGGGGGGAAGCCUGGCGGAGCAGCGCCGCGUGUGUGAUGGCGGUCUUCGGAGCGGAAAGCUCUGUUAUUAGGGAAGAACAAAUGUGUAAGUAAAUAUGCACGUCUUGACGGUACCGAAUCAGAAAGCCCCGGCUAACUACGUG